rnacentral:miRNA from 1 species
UGAGGACCAAGUGCAUCACUGC